GGGGUCUGUCUUUUAAAGGGGUCCUUUGCACCUGCUUGCAAACUAGUUCCCAUGGAACCCUGGGCUGACCAGAGUACUGCCUGAGAGCAUUCUGCCAGGUGACAGGGCCAGGCCAGCAUAAAGGAUAUCUAGCUUUUGUAGCCCCUGUAUCGUCUCGUCUCUAUUUUCUUAUAGUCUUUUUUUGAGAGUAUGAAGUCAAUCUGAAUUGUAGAGAGCAUGGUGUUACCUGUAGAAUCCCAAGUCCGGUUUCCUGUGAGUUGAAAUGAUCCAAAGGCAAACUUCUGAAAGAAUGAUAGGAGAACAUGAAAGGGAGUACUGAGGAGGGGGGCUAGAAAAAGCCCUGGGUGAGAGGAGCCAGGCUUGAGGAAGCUCUGUGCAAAGGAGUGAUUGUAAUAUAGGGAUCAGAAAGAAUGAGGGUGGGGUAGAUGUGGGGGACAUGGUGAGUCUGUUAAAGAGCCCAUUGUUAAACCAGUCUCCCAAUUCAGAAGCAAACUAGGAAGUCCCAGCAUAGGCAAAAUACUUCAUACAAUUGGAUUAGGUUAUUGUGCUUUAUAGUAAGUUAAGAGCACAUCUGUGGAGUAGAGAAAACGUAACAAUCUCACUGUAGAAGACAAAAAUAUUUUGGUAAUUUUCCUCCAGUGAGAUUAUAUUGUAUGAACAAAUCUACAAAUUUGGAGGCUAAUAUACUUUUGGUCCUUAUAUUUUGUAUACUUAGGUUGGUAAUCUUUACAAAAAGUUACUGAAGUAUAGUAGAUCAGGAUUGAAGGUGUGUGUGUGUGUGUGUGUGUGUGUGUGUGUGUGUGUUCAUCUAAUUAGUACUGGAAGCAGCCUUAGUUUCCUGGCACAUGAGUAUUUUUUAAGUUAACUAGAUUUGCUUCCAUAUAUGUUGAAUGAGAGGUCAGCAGUGACACAUACAUUUGUGAAACAUGUUGAUUGAGAAACCACCGUUCUUGGACCUCUUUACUAGUUUGUGGUUUGCUUCUAGGAUAAUUAAUGUUACCACCACUUAGUUUCAUUUCUGUUGCUGUGAUAAAAUACCUUGACAGAAGAAACUUAGGAAAAAGGGUUUACUUUUGCUUACAGUUCCAAGUUAAAGCCCAUCAUUUAUAAGAGUUACAAUGCAGGAGCUUGUGAUAGCCAUCAGCAUUUCAUCACAGUCAAGAAGCAGAGGGGAAGGAAUAAUUAGUAUGCCCAGCUAGCUUUCUCCAGUUUCACACACCCCAGUACACAAACUCAGGGAAUGGUGCUACCCACUUUCAGGCAGGGUCUUCCCACAUCCUCCAUAGAUGUGUCUCCAAUGGCCAAACUGAUCCAAACAUAUUUUCAUUGAGACUCUCCUCCCUGGCUGAUUGUAAAUUUUCUCAAACUGACAAAACUAACCAUUACACCAUUUUACAUUGCUAGUCAUGGGGUGGGGAUGGUAUCUACUUUCUGCCUUUUAGGUGCCUAGAAGAACUGAGGUUAGCCUAAGCAAUUUUAGCUGUUUGAAGAAUUGACUAAAGUGCCCCAAGGUCCUGUAAAAUGGCAUAAGACGUUGACCUUAACAAGCCAGUCAGUCCACUCUUCUUAGCUUCGUCUUGACCACACUUCGUAGGCAGUUGAUUUCACUGGUAGCCCUUUUCAUACUGUCCAGAUGAGUCUAAAGACUCCCGGAAGCUCCAAACUGGCUUUAGAACAGUGUUUCCACACCCGCUUCUUCUUAGUCCUCAGAUACGACAUUGUGCUGGUAAAUCCAAAAAGCAUUACCCCAGAAACCCCCUUUCAUCAUAUAACUUAUAAAGCUUUUAAAGUACCCUUUCGUUUUCAUUGCUGUGAAAUCCAUGUAAAAUAGGAUUAACUAUUUAAAUAUGUGUGGGUCACUAGCCUAGUACUACUCUUUAAGCAUUUGAUUGUUAGUGAGAAUUUUGGUCCUUUAUUGUUGGGGCAGUGUGAUGAUGGCCAUAUCCACAUUCAGUAUUUUACCUAGUAAGCUAAAAAGUAAAUAAACAUCAAACUUUAAAAUAUUCCUAUCUCUUCACCACUUCAACUUAAGCUUAGUUUGACAUUUUCAUUCUCCCCUCAACUCCCUUUCUCUCAAAAACAAACCCAAAAAGAUCAAGGAGCCAAAGCCUAGAUCCUUGAUUUCUUCUAGGAACACCUGCCUGCACAGUUUUCAAAUAGUAAUAGCAGCCUUACUGUCUUCAGGGUGCUUAGUUAGCAUUACGCAAGAAAGGCUUUACUUAGCCAAGGUGUAAAUAACCCAGCAACUGUGUAAUAGUGGCUCUGUGGCACAUUACAUCCGCACUUAAAGGUGUGCACUCAAGUUGAAGUUUGAAGAAGAGGUACCCUGUGCUACACCUUGUAGAUUCUAAGCUGCUUUGCUGACUUUUUCAAUCGAGGACACUGUUGCUUUUAGCAUACUGAAACAGAAAAAACUGUGCAAGAAUUUAAAGAUGAUAAUACCGUCAGCAUCUCCAAGAAAAAGAAAGUCAAGAAAGCUGUCUCCAGUCAACUGUUAACAGCCUGCUGCUAUUUCCUGAUAUGGAAAAAUUGAAUUCCAAUGACUCGACUCCAUAUUUACACUGCUAUUAUUCUCAGAACAGAACAAAAUGGUCUGGAACUCCACUGGGAUUCUCUGAAACCUCGACACAUUACAUGUAGUCUUUUGCCAGAAGUUUGACUCCCUGAAGCUGUGUGGUUGGUUUUUUCCUUAUUUUCCUUUGUUGCAUCUCUUAAGUUGACUACCCAGCUAAAUGAAGAAGGCAUAGUCUGGGUUUUGGAACUGACUGAAGAGCAACCACUGCAUUGUUAAAUGUUGAACCAACAGAUUUUUGACAUUGGAAGGUUUUGAUAUUCAGUUCAGGCAAGUUUUUAAGAUAUUCUUUAAAAAAAAUCAUGUAAUACUUCUGAUUAUUUUCUUUCACUAAAACAUUAGUUCUAAUUCAGUGUGAAGCUCCAGAAUAUCUGAAAUAAGCAUUACAGUUUCUGACUUAUAUUUAAAAUGUAUUCAUCUAAUCUUCCUUCCCUCUUCCCUUCCUGCCUUCUUUUGCAGUGAGCUUGAAUAUUGACUGAGAAUUGGUUCUGUCAAGACCAUCUCUGGCAAUCUGUUCCAAAUUCAACUAUAAUAAAUCAUAACUAAGGAUGAACACUUACAUAAAUACAUAUUCUUAAGUGAUUUUAAAAUAAAGUCUUUUUAGUGGACUGGUGGUAAGCAUCAAAGUCUUUGAAUUCAUCAGAGUCUUUUGAAAUGCUGUCCUGCCCAGGAGGACUGGCUUCUGUGGACUGGAGAGGAUGUGUUCUUAUUAGGACAGACUAAAUCUGUGUUGAAUUUGUACAAGAGAACCUUUUUAUUUGUGUGUGUGUGUGUGUGUGUGUGUGUGUGUGUGUGUGUGUGUGUGUGUGUGUGU